rnacentral:rRNA from 1 species
GACGAACGCUGGCGGCGUGCCUAAUACAUGCAAGUAGGACGCAGUUGCGAACGGGGGAGUAACGCGUAGGUAACUACCUAUUAGAGGGGGAUAACUAUUGGAAACGAUAGAUAAUACCGCAUAAUAGUAGAUGGACCUGCGUUGUAUUAGCUAGUAGGUAGGGUAAUGGCCUACCUAGGCAACGAUACAUAGCCGACCUGAGAGGGUGAUCGUACCCACGGUGACUGAGACACGCCCCAGACUCCUACGGUAGUCAGCAGUAGGGAAUCUUCGGCAAUGGGGGUAACCCUGACCGAGCAACGCCGCGUGAGUGAAGAAGUUUUUCGGAUCGUAAAGCUCUGUUGUUAAGGAAGCGGUACUUAACCAGAAAGGGACGGCUGACUACGUGCCAGCAGCCGCAGUAAUAC